UACGAAGGGGCUAGCGUUGUUCGGAAUUACUGGGCGUAAAGCGCACGUAGGCGGAUAUUUAAGUCAGGGGUGAAUCCCAGAGCUCAACUCUGGAACUGCCUUGAUACUGGGUAUCUUGAGUAUGGAAGAGGUAAGUGGAAUUGCGAGUGUAGAGGUGAAAUUCGUAGAUAUUCGCAGGAACACCAGUGGCGAAGGCGGCUUACUGGUCCAUUACUGACGCUGAGGUGCGAAAGCGUGGGGAGCAACAGG
rnacentral:rRNA from 1 species